CAUACGGGGGGCAGCAGUGGGGAAUAUUGGACAAUGGGCGAAAGCCUGAACCAGCCAUGCCGCGUGUGUGAAGAAGGCCUUCGGGUUGUAAAGCACUUUCAGUGGGGAAGAAAGCCUUGGGGCUAAUACCCUCGAGGAAGGACAUCACCCACAGAAGAAGCACCGGCUAACUCCGUGCCAGCAGCCGCGGUAAUACGGAGGGUGCGAGCGUUAAUCGGAAUUACUGGGCGUAAAGCGCGCGUAGGCGGUCUGAUAAGCCGGUUGUGAAAGCCCCGGGCUCAACCUGGGAACGGCAUCCGGAACUGUCAGGCUAGAGUGCAGGAGAGGAAGGUAGAAUUCCCGGUGUAGCGGUGAAAUGCGUAGAGAUCGGGAGGAAUACCAGUGGCGAAGGCGGCCUUCUGGACUGACACUGACGCUGAGGUGCGAAAGCGUGGGUAGCAAACAGGAUUAGAUACCCGAGUAGUC
rnacentral:rRNA from 1 species